UCUCAUACACAACACACCUGUGCACCUAUUGUAGGUCCUCGGAAGAGGAUCUAUGUUUUUCACAUCACACACUGUCGUAUGUCUAUAGAAUGUAUUGAAGACCGUCGCAGUGCGUGACGGUCGAUAAUAAUAAAUCAUACAACUUUCAGCAACGGAUCUCUUGGCUCUCGCAUCGAUGAAGAACGCAGCGAAUUGCGAUAAGUAAUGUGAAUUGCAGAUUUUCAGUGAAUCAUCGAAUCUUUGAACGCACCUUGCGCUCCUUGGUAUUCCGAGGAGCAUGCCUGUUUGAGUGUCAUUGAAUUUCUCAAACUCAUGUCUUUUUUAGGGCAUGAGCUUUUGGAGUUGGGGGCUGCUGGCGGUGAAAAGCUGUCGGCUCUCCUGAAAUACAUUAGCAAAUAGGACGGGCAAGUCUUUGACGUGCACGGCCUUCGACGUGAUAAUGAUCGUCGUGGCUGGAGCGUCGGACAUGCAUGAAUCUGUCUGUGCUGCUUCUAAUCCCCCCUAGGCUAGCCUUGGCUUGGUCACUUUAGCUACUAGUCGGUCAAUCAGGCUGAUGAACGUUGGGCGGGCUGAGCUAGGCUUU
rnacentral:sRNA from 1 species